GGCGGUGCUGGCCGCCGGGGUGCAGCCACGUCGUGCGGCGCCCUUUCGGCGGGUGCUGAGAUAAGCGACGCGUCUGCUCCGAGGUGGUUUUGCUGCCCGCCUGAGUGAACGCAGGCGUGCCACUGAGGUGACACUGCAGCCCGGCUUGAAGGUAGCUCAAGGGAGUGCUUGGUGCACUUCAGUGCUUAGGAAUGCUUUCAGGAAUCGGUGUGGCUACCACAAGCGUUUCUAGCCUUCUGUCCUGCUCUGGAUGCUUUCUUAAGAGAUUGUAUUGCCACCUGGGCUUGGCUGGGAUACCUCUAUUUACUUCUGUGAGCCUUGGCUUGGAUCUAGUGCAGCAAAACGGUGGCAAUUUUUGAUCCCCAGGUACUCUUGAGUACAGAAGGGCCAUUUAGCGGACUGAGCAAGGCAUUGCUACAGAUGGCAAACAAGGGCAUCUCAUUCCCAAUGACAUUGCUGUGGAGAUGUAAAAGGAACACCAAAUUCUAAGAUUUGCUGCAGGUACAACAGGAAUAAGGAAUAAGAAACUCUGACAACUUAGUGGCAUGAAAAAAAAUGAAGAAAGAAGGCACUUGUUAGAAGGGUAAUGAGUAGUUUCAGCAUCUAAAGUUUAUGUGCAGAUACAGAUUUUAUAAAGACUAAUGACGAGGUCCCUGAGCAAUACCACAUAAAAAUUAUAACAGUCCAUUUAUAGACUUAAUUUUCACAGAUUUCACUUUAGCUUUAGUUUGCACUUGGCUUGCCAAAGUGUACUAGGUAGUUAAAAAACAUGUUUUGUUAGCUGACAGAAGGUUUGAUCACAUUGAUCUUAAACAUUUCCUUUUAUAUGUUUCUAAUAUUAAUAAAGUUGUUUGUUUAUUUAGACAUUGGUUGUCCACUUAGUCAUAAAGAAAUGGCCAUUAUGUUGGAAUGUUUUAAAGAAGAAUAAAGCAGCCAAUCUGUAAGAUCAGAUACAACAGCACCCCAUGCUCACAGAAGAGUACGCACCAAGGUUUAUGUUCAAUUUGACAUGUAAUUAAAAAAGCAAUCAACACUUAUCCCAUGCAAUCCAUACAAUUAAUCUGGCACUAUGUAACUAUACAAAUAUAUAGUCAUCUAGCCUGAAGCUUGUUAAAAAGUAAGCACUGCAGGCCUCUAUAAAGCCCAAUAACAUAUGUGCAUGGCAUGUUCCAGAGCAUUUUUCUAGCCAAAAACCCACCAUAUAGCUUAGCAAUGAAUUGCUCCCUAAAACAGCCUCAUCUGCAUACAUAUCGUCUUUCUAAUUUUAGUCUUCCUGAUUUCCUGUGAAAGUUAUGGGUGCUUCCCAGAAGCACAAGUCAGCUCAAAACAACUCAUAGCAAAAGUUUACAGGAUCCAGACCUUGACAGAACCCUCACUUUCAGCUUCUCAAGUAAAGGUACAAAAUGAAGUGUGCCACAAACUUACUUAAACCAUUUGUAGUGUGUGUAAAAGGAAGUGUUGUCUUGCCUUACAAAUGCAUGUUGUACUUCAGCAGUGGCUAAGAACAUACUGAUUUUUAUGUACAAUUCCCACAUUGUCUGGGACUUACUUCUAAAAUAGUGUCAGGAGAAGGUAAAUGAGGUUUACCUAAGUAUGUUAGCAACUUCUAACCCUUUACAAGCGAUGGCACUGGUGCUGAGUGAGGUUCAGUUUGCCAAGCAUCUCGUCAGAGCCUCUACUCUUAAGUUAGGGUUUUGCCAUAGGUGUGGCCAAAUUCCUCAAGACAUUCAGAGCUGGAGUUAGAUUUCCUCUGGUUAAUGCAAGCAUUAAAACUUUUGGGAGGACAAAUUGUGGGCCCAGCCUUUUACCUGCGGGAGUACUCCAUAUGCUAGGUUAUGAAUUCAAGCCUUAUGUAAGAAGAGACAGCCAUAUCCUUUUGGGACUAAUCAAGAUCCUGUGAUGAGAGGAAUGUAAUUCUUUU